rnacentral:misc_RNA from 1 species
GAUGAAGAACGUAGUGAAAUGCGAUAAGUAAUGUGAAUUGCAGAAUUCAGUGAAUCAUCGAAUCUUUGAACGCACAUUGCGCCCAUUAGUAUUCUAGUGGGCAUGCCUGUUCGAGCGUCAUUUCAACCCUUAAGCCUAGCUUAGUAUUGGGAAUCGACUUUACUGUCGUUCCUCAAAUUCAACGGCGGAUUUAUAGCAAUCUCUGAACGUAGUAAUUUUUUUUCUCGUUUUUGAAAUACUAUAAACCUCAGCCGCUAAACCCCCAAUUUCUUAUGGUUGACCUCGGAUCAGGUAGGAGUACCCGCUGAACUUAAGCAUAUCAAUAAGCGGAGGA